rnacentral:sRNA from 2 species
AACGUGCGAUCGCGCAGUUUAAAGGAAGAGCGGAGGAACCAAGUGUCCUAAACGGGGCGUAUCUCAAAUCCAAUUAAGGAGUCGAUCCUUAAGGAGAGAGGGGGAUCUUCCAACCCUAGCCCGUCAGCUAACUUCGUAGGCAAUGGAAGAAGAUUGA